GAGUUUGCACGUGCUCCCCGUAACCGCGUGGCUUUCCUCCGGGUGCUCCGGUUUCCUCCCACAUCCCAACGACGUGCGGCUUUGUAGGUUACUUGGCCCUCUUUAAAUUGCCCUUAGUGUGCAGGCAGUGA